rnacentral:rRNA from 1 species
CCUACGGGAGGCAGCAGUGGGGAAUAUUGCACAAUGGGGGAAACCCUGAUGCAGCGACGCCGCGUGAGUGAAGAAGUAUUUCGGUAUGUAAAGCUCUAUCAGCAGGGAAGAAAAUGACGGUACCUGAUUCAGAAGCCCCGGCUAACUACGUGCCAGCAGCCGCGGUAAUACGUAGGGGGCAAGCGUUAUCCGGAUUUACUGGGUGUAAAGGGAGCGUAGACGGCAGCACAAGUCUGGAGUGAAAUGCCGGGGCUUAACCCCGGAACUGCUUUGGAAACUGUGCAGCUAGAGUGCAGGAGAGGUAAGUGGAAUUCCUAGUGUAGCGGUGAAAUGCGUAGAUAUUAGGAGGAACACCAGUGGCGAAGGCGGCUUACUGGACUGCAACUGACGUUGAGGCUCGAAAGCGUGGGGAGCAAACAGGAUUAGAUACCCCAGUAGUC